rnacentral:rRNA from 1 species
CUACGGGCCGCUCCAGCAGGGAAUAUUGCACAAUGGACGGAAGUCUGAUGCAGCGACGCCGCGUGGAUGAUGAAGGCCCUCGGGUUGUAAAAUCCUUUUCAGGGGGACGAGGAAGGACGGUACCCUUGGAAUAAGCGUCGGCUAACUACGUGCCAGCAGCCGCGGUAAGACGUAGGACGCAAGCGUUAUCCGGAUUUACUGGGCGUAAAGCGUCUGUAGGCGGAAUGGUAAGUUGGACGUGAAAGCUCCGGGCUCAACUCGGAGAGGUCGUUCAAUACUGCCAAACUAGAGGGCAUCAGAGGAGCGUGGAAUUUCCGGUGUAGCGGUAAAAUGCGCAGAUAUCGGAAGGAACACCAAUGGCGAAGGCAGCGCUCUGGGAUGAACCUGACGCUAAGAGACGAAAGCUAGGGGAGCGAACAGGAUUAGAUACCCCGGUAGUC